rnacentral:rRNA from 1 species
ACUCGCCUGCAUGAAGUCGGAAUUGCUAGUAAUCGCAGAUCAGCAUGCUGUGGUGAAUACGUUCCCGGGCCUUGUACACACCGCCCGUCACACCAUGGGAGUCGGUAACACCCAAAGUUGGUAGUCUAACCGCAAGGAGGACGCCGCCUAAGGUGGGAUUGAUGACUGGGGUGAAGUCGUAACAAGGUACC